rnacentral:rRNA from 1 species
UACGAAGGGGACUAGCGUUGUUCGGAAUUACUGGGCGUAAAGCGCACGUAGGCGGAUUUGUAAGUCAGGGGUGAAAUCCCGGGGCUCAACCUCGGAACUGCCUUUGAUACUGCAAAUCUCGAGUCCGAUAGAGGUGGGUGGAAUUCCUAGUGUAGAGGUGAAAUUCGUAGAUAUUAGGAAGAACACCGGUGGCGAAGGCGGCCCACUGGAUCGGUACUGACGCUGAGGUGCGAAAGCGUGGGGAGCAAAUAGG